GGGUGCCUUUAUCUUCCCCACACAGUGGGUUAUGGUGACUCACCAGUCAUUUAGUGGAGUGGAAAUAAGUUAUGGGUCAUGGCAACAAACAAACAAGGAUGGGAGCCAGAGAGACAGAAGACAUCUGCUCCAGCACCAUUGGCCUUAUCUCUGUCACUUGACUGCAUGCAGAGCACUCUGAGUCUGGUCUGACAGCCCUGUACGAAGCAGAGGUUUGCCUGCCAUGGAGCUGUGGAUGCAGGAUGGAAGGAUAUGGGGGGAAGAUGGGCUUUAUCCUUUCAGCAGUGGCUGUGGUUUCCUUAGGAGACAGACAGCUGUUACUGCCUCUACAAACCCAUUUCGCAAUGACAGUGUCUCAAAUGACCUUGUCUGAUUGCUUUUCCAUCUGAGCCAUGAACAACACCAGAGCAGGGAUUCACCUUCAGUCAGUCUUCUCUCUCUUCAGCAGUGGAAAUGGAAGUGAACUUGUGUUGUUGUGCCAUGCACACGUGCACUCUGCAUAUCUCUUCUGGCACAGCAAAACAAGACAUAACACAGUGCUCACAAAGGGCAGUCCAUGAAGUGCUUCCUGCAGAAAAGAAGGCUGCUCUCUCUCUUACCUGUGUGGUGAGCAAUGUGUUUGACAGCCCCAUCUAGGGGAAAAAAUCUCAAGUAUUACUCAGGAGUUAAUCUGCACAGGAACACAUCUGCUUUGCUGCUCCUGACCUGCUGGUGCCUUGUCACAUCAUCCAGAUGCUUGUUCUGGUGGCUGCAAAAGGCUCAGAUAGGGCUGGAACUGCAGAUGUUCCCUAGAGGUGUGAGAGUAAGAAUGAAGAAGAUAUGAGGAUUUUUGGCCAUUUUCCCCUCUCCCUGCUUCUCCUGCUUUUGCUUAAUUUUGCCAGCCUAGCCCUGAAUAUUUGGGAACAUUUUUUCCCACUAAAAUAGAAUUAAUUCAUCUGAGUUGUAGAUUGACAGCUCCAGUCAUUGCAGUCACCCGUCACUACUUGUUCAUAGAUGGUGAAAGGAAGGAUACAGGCAGGUAAUUGCAAGUAAUUGGCAUACCUGGGCUUUUUCCAGGCCUGUUUCUUCUCGCUCCUUUUCUUUCUGUGUCCAGUCAAAACGAAGGCUGUCCUGUUCACUCAACACAGCCUCAAUUUUAAGGCUAUGAAAACAGCAGCAGGCAGAAGAUUUCAAGAAGAGCACCAUUGCCUGCACGCCUGUGUCGUGUGAGAUGAUCUGUAAUGAUUUUGGCUUCUGACAGCGGCUGUCUGCAGUUGCACACAUCAAAAAUAAUAAAGAAAUGGAUUUUUCAUUUAAAAGUCAAACUUAGAAAACCAGGAGACAAAAUACAAUGUGUAGUUUGGGCUGGAUCAUGAGACUUGGUCAAAAAGUUUUACUGAACUGAGGGAAGAAAUUCCAAGUUUUAUUGUCUCUGCUCAGCUCACUAUCUGGAACACAACAUCCCAACCUCAUCUUUACCUUUUUUUUAAACCAAAACUGAGAAGCAUUCAAGUCCAAGCACAGUAACUUACUCACAUCAGCAGCCAGAACUGAGCUGGAAAAUCAGAUCCAAACACCAUUUCUGUCAGGUUGACCGUUGUUAUUUGUAUCUCUUGGUUGUUUCAGAUGCAAAGCUAGAGAUGAGAAGAGAUCAAGAUGAGAAAAAAGAAGCGAUAUUGCCUUUCUCGGAUGAGGAACCGAGGCACGGGGAGGUGAAGUGACUUGGCAAAGGCAGUGCAGGAAGGCUGGAGCAGAGCUGGGAGGUGCAGCUGAGCUCUGGGAGCCCCUCACCACAGCCACAGCCUGUCCUUCCUGCCUCCCCCUGCCUCUUGUGUGGCACCCACACAGAGCUCCGGAGAGCAAGACACAACAGUGACCCCAGCGGCUGGGGAAAGAGGGGAGAAAGAAGCCCCGUUUAUUUUUCUUUCUGCUACUUUAUCUCACUUCAAUGGGAGCAGUUGAGAAUGUCGAGGAUAAAUGAAAACAACUGUUGGGCAUCAGUCCAAGUGGUUAACAAAGAACCCCAAACUCUUUUAAGUCCUACAACUAAAAGGUGCUGGCAUUAAAAGAAUAGCAUUUUUCUUUGC